GGUGGCUCAGUGGUAGAGUGCUUGCCUUGCAUGCAUGAGGCCCUGGGAUCAUUCCUCAGCACCA
rnacentral:tRNA from 1 species